AGGCAGGGGCUGGGUGGGGAUUGGCUGGAGAGUCUGUAAUUCAGCGGUUUCCGGAGCUGCGGCGGUGUAGACGGGGAGGGGGAGCUUGGGGGUUCCGACGUCGCAGCGGAGGGAAGGAGCCCCAACCGGAUCCUUGACGAGCACCCCAGCUCGGCUUUGCCCCUCUGCGUCGCCUAGGAGAGGCCCGGCGGCCCGAGGGAGCCCGGCCACCCGCACCCGACGCAAGCUCAGCCCCGGCCUGUCGGGCCUCACAGCUGGAGAAACAGGUGAAGGGGGCGAAGGGUGGGGCCGCGUCC
rnacentral:lncRNA from 1 species